UCCGUAGGCGGUGUGGUAAGUCGAUAGUGAAAUCUCUGGGCUUAACCCAGAGGCUGCUAACGAAACUGCCAUGCUAGAGUGUGAGAGAGGCGAGUGGAAUUACGGGUGUAGCGGUGAAAUGCGUAGAUAUCCGUAGGAACAUCCGAGGCGAAGGCGGCUCGCUGGAUCACAACUGACGCUGAGGGACGAAAGCUAGGGGAGCAAACAGGAUUAGAUACCCUGGUAGUCCUAGCCCUAAACCAUCAGGACUUGGGGUUUGCCCUGUACGGGGCAAGUUCCGUAGCUAACGCGUUAAGUCCUGCGCCUGGGGAGUACGGUCGCAAGGCUGAA
rnacentral:rRNA from 1 species